rnacentral:tRNA from 1 species
AGUUAAUGAGCUUGAAUAUAAGCAUAUAUUUUGAAAAUAUAAGAUAGAGUUAUUUCUAUUAACUU